AUAAGACAUACCCAGAGCACGUACAGCUACCAAUUAUAAGCGUAAUCUUUCACUUCGUACAAGCCGUUCUAACAGGUUCUCUUGGGGGAUUUUAGGAGAGGGGGAGUCUUUGAUAGCUAAGGUGGACACGAUGGGUAAAAACGAGACCAGUAAGAAGCCCCCGCGAACGGGCAGGUUUCGCCCAGUCAAGUUGUUUUUCCGAAUGAUCAAAGAAGCGACGAAACCGAUUUGGGACAACAUGUACAUAAUCCGGCCAACCAGCAUAGCAACAAUCAUCAUCGUCUUCGGGGUUCUCUACAUUUUUGUGUUUUAGAAAGUGAAAAAAUAAAGUCCGACGUAAACAAGAUAGAGUAAUGUCCUGCAGUACCCGAAUGAGUGUCAUGAUCACCUAGGUGGCGCAAGGAACGACGUACAUCAAGGAAAUACACAGAUACUAGAUUACAGCAUACACUAGUGCAAAGAAACUGAGUCAAACUUGCACAACAGAGCCCAUGAGAUUCAACCAUUAUGACCUGUGUCUAGUAUGUACUUUAGUCUAGAAGAGAACUCUGGGUUCCUUUAAGUUAUGGAAAUGCGAGUUCUUGAUGCCCGACUGAGCUGAAUCAAAGAGGAAAUUUUGCUACGUACUCUAAUGCGUAAAGCUUUGUAAUAUGUUGCAUAAGAUAUGACUAAUGAAUGUUAACAGCUGCACUGUGAGAGUUGCUUAAUGUUAACAUAUUGCAAUGUAUUAUGUCUCUGAAAUGUAGCUUUAGGAAUUAUAGACAUAUCUUAGUAAUGAUUUCGCUUAAAAGAGCUCUUGGAUCACCAUCGGUUUAAAGAACUUGUUUUCAAAAAAGGCUUGCGACAUGUCUAAAGAGAUGUGUUUAGGGGAUUGUUUACAUAUCUGUCUGCUAUUCUUCUGUUUACGGGUCACUUCACCAGCAAACCGGUUGUACGGCUUGUAAAUUGUUGUAACAAACAUGGCGGCAGGAUGGCAACAUCGGCACUGCAGCGCCUCAUAGCGGUUAAACUGCAGAACUGCAUAUAAUUUACAUUUAAUAUUUAAAUAAAGCUUAUCUAUUAUACAUGUAUAUAAUUAGGCCACUCUGUCUCAAUUCUAUGGAAAACAUCGUUAUCGAUGUUCGAAGGUUUCGGAGCACAUGUAACACAAUUUGUAUAUAAUCUCUGUCGUGACAGGAAUACUAGUAGUGUAGUAAUAUUUUUCCUAGGGAAAAUAUAUUGUUUUGCUGGUGUAUUUAUUUCUUAUUCUGUCAGCAGCCAAUCAGAGCUUAGAUCUGCGUUAGUAUACGAUGUUAACUAUAUACAUGUAUUGUAAAUAUGGCGAGCGUAAGCUACGUAACACUAUUCUAUGCAAGUAGUUUGACAAAAGGCAACAUGGAGAACAUUCUGCAUUUUCGCAAAAAAUGUUGCCUUUCUAGUUACUCUUGGCUUUGUCUUGAAGUUGGAAACUUUUCAUGUUUACGUUCAUGCAAAUAGAAACCCUCAGCUAUGUAUAAUUUUUGGUAUAUCUUGGUAAAAAAAAAGUCACAAUAAACGCAUGCAUCUACUGAAUGUACUGAGAUUUGCUACCAGAAAAUAUUUGAUUCUUAUUCUCUUGUCUUUGUAAUCAUCAUUCUCGCUUCACUCAAUGGCAAAAUGCAAGAUUAUACAAAACGCUGAUAUAUGUCGCAGAAUUCGAAAGAUCUUUACUGUGACACCAUAAGACGUUAACAAUUCGAGGUGACUUUACUGAAAUAACUUGCAUACUUUUAGAAGAAAAAGAAAUGGUAACGGAAUGUUUCCAAAAAUAAGAUAAAUAAAUUUUCAACCACAUUGCACUGAUAUAAUGCACACACUUAUGCUCUAAAUCGUACAAACCAGCCUAAGAAUAAGCAAAGAUAUGACGUGGAUUGCAAAAAUAAAUAUAUUUGUACAAUAGAAGCCAGUUAAUUGAACAAUGGAUAUCCCCACACCUCUGUUAAUUGUACGGAUCUCCGAAUCCCAAACCGGUGCGGUCCAGCUGGACAACUCCGCAUUAUUGCACUAGCCGGACUAUUGCAUGAAAUACACUGGCAAAUGGUGUGUGCAAUUAAACGGCUUCGUACUAGUAGUAGGCCCACCCAGUAACAAUACCAACCGUUGAAAGGAAUUUAAAGCAGCGGUUUAACAGGUUUUGUAAUCAUCUAUCAGAAUCAUGUGACUUACAAAUCACAAAGCAUUGGCCCUUAUCAACAACACCUUCAGAUUCGCCAUUUUGUUUCCGUACUCGUCAGACUCAACUCAGAGCUUGUCUCAUCCUGCAAAGUAGAGCUUAGUAUACGGACAUGGGGAAAGUUGAGUGGCACAAGAUUGAGGACUGGAGCACCCGUGGCAGGGCCAGGUCCAACCUGCUAAAAGACUGGCGGGACAAAGUAAGUGACGCGGUCCAUCGUGUCUGGGACCCCGUCUUGGGAAACAUGGUCGGGCCAGCCAGUGUUGUGCUUGCUUUGACCAUCAUAGUCGUUGUAUCCAUUGCUGUCUAGAAAGGUGUUUGCGGACAGUUUGCCGCGGUUAGUUGGGGCCCCACGACGGUUCACGAUUUACGACGACCUGUUCUCGUCACUUCCAAGAGUACUCUCUUCACCGCGGAAGGAUACUACAGACGCACAUGUUUAUACAUUGGCCAGUUGAUCCACACGGACUCUUCACUGAUAAUUUUCUUUACUUAAUGUGAACAAGCAUUCGUCACAAAGAAAUGCUUUUGCACAACAACUGAAUAUUACAUUAUUACAAUCCAUAGUUUGUUUACUACGCAAAAUGUUACGGAAUUAGCUUUCGUAGGAACCAGUAGUUUUACAUGCUGAAUCACUUAUGAUUAUCAACUAUAUUGUAAGACUUUGUUCGUGAAAAUAUUGAUGAGAUGUUAUAUGUAUACUGGAUACAGGGUAUUUGUAUACGUAUCUGUACUACUGUGACACCACAGAAACUCAUGAGGAAAGUUAUUAAUAUUCUAUACGUACAUGUACGGGUAUCUAGUAAUGCUUGUAUGCUAAAUUUCUUUAAUCACCAAACUUUUAACAAUAUAAACAAAUCUUAGUUCACAUUUCUUUGUGGUUGAACAAAGUUUUCGCGACAGUACUUAAUUUCCACAGCGCUUGUAGCUGAUUAAGUUAAAUGUUAAUUAGAAAUCUGCAUACCACAGGUGCAUGAUUUGUUAUAUAGCUGUUACGGUGUAUAAUUUUGUGCUCCAGACUUAGCCAACACUAGCAUCUGAGUAGCUUCUUUUCACAAUAAAUGCCAAUCCUUCCCAA